rnacentral:rRNA from 1 species
UUGAACGCUGGCGGCAGGCCUAACACAUGCAAGUCGAACGGUAACAGGAAGCAGCUUGCUGCUUUGCUGACGAGUGGCGGACGGGUGAGUAAUGUCUGGGAAACUGCCCGAUGGAGGGGGAUAACUACUGGAAACGGUAGCUAAUACCGCAUAACGUCGCAAGACCAAAGAGGGGGACCUUAGGGCCUCUUGCCACCGGAUGUGCCCAGAUGGGAUUAGCUAGUAGGUGGGGUAACGGCUCACCUAGGCGACGAUCCCUAGCUGGUCUGAGAGGAUGACCAGCCACACUGGAACUGAGACACGGUCCAGACUCCUACGGGAGGCAGCAGUGGGGAAUAUUGCACAAUGGGCGCAAGCCUGAUGCAGCCAUGCCGCGUGUAUGAAGAAGGCCUUCGGGUUGUAAAGUACUUUCAGCGGGGAGGAAGGGAGUAAAGUUAAUACCUUUGCUCAUUGACGUUACCCGCAGAAGAAGCGCCGGCUAACUCCGUG